AUUCUGAUUAGACCUGAGCGGGGCCCAGUUACCAUUGCUAUCUCCAUGGUUGCUCCAUUGGAAACUUCUAAGCAUGUGUCUUAAGAAGAAACAAACUUGGACUUUUUCAGCAAAACUGGAGAGCUAACAUCUACCACCUAAAAUUGGCUCUUUGUUCCACAAAAGAACCUUUAACACCAUUUGAAAAACUACCAAUCAAGUGCAACUACAAGCUCUAUGCAAAUAAGAGGCUAUAAGAGAAAUAGUUACAAUGAACAUUUACUUAUGUUUUAAGUGUUAGUUUUUUUCUUUUGCUUCACUUUUUACAUGUAUUUAAUAAAUAUUAAAAAAAACUUCUUUGAUACCUAAUGCACAACACAAUCCUGAACACAAAUUACUGUUAAUAUUGUGGCGGUAAAAAAAUAAUUAAAAAAACCCAGAUGACGUUUAUACUGUAGUAAAAUGGUGAGUGCCCAGGGCUUCCUGGAGUUUUGGUAGGGUCCAAUUUUGAAAAUUUCAUCCCAAUUCUGUUUUAGUUUGUGUAACCAAUUUCUGCCUAAGAGAUUUUGCCUUUGUCCUUGGAUCACUGGGACUAGUAACUUUUUUUCUUUUGGCACAGAAUCUACCACCUGGAUGGGUUCUGUGGCGUAGACACACAGGGUCACUCCUGCAUUUGCUAGUGGACUCGGUCCUGUUUUGCACUGUUGAUACGUAGAUUCAUUGAUCACAGUAGCUAAAGCCCCUGUAUCUAUUUACAUGUGUACUGACUGAUUAUUUAACUCUACUGUUACUUCAUAAGGUCCCACUUUUUUCUCUUUUUGACAGUAUCUAGCCCGUAUCCCUUCCUUUGUGUCUUCUUCCCCCCUCAAGGUAAAAUGUCCUCUGCUUUCUUCCUUUCCCUCUGGUCUUUUGGAGUCUACCUUCCUGGCUUGAUUGAUAGUCACCUUUGCAUUUUCUGGCUACGUGUCCAAUCUUGAGGCUUUUUGUGACACUGGUCUUUACAGACGAUGUAAAAUGAGCUCCACAGCAGAAACACCUUCAGGAGCCUGCAUCCCUUUCAGCUGGUUUUGCAUUUUGUUUACUGAGUCAGUCUGAUCGCACCUGUAUUCUAAGUGAAAAUCUUGUAAGUUUUUCACCGCUGGCUUCCAUUGCUGUUGCUAAUUCUAUUGCUUUGGGCCAGGUUAAGUUUCCUUCUGCCAGCAAUCAUCUUUGGAUUCUCUCAUUAUUAACAUCACAAACCAGUCCAUCCCACAGCAUAUCCACUGGGACAUUUAACUGAAUAGUGCUCAUUUGAAAUCUUUUUAGCUCUGCCACGUGUACAGCUACAGUUUCACUUUGCCUCCUCAUUCAACAGUAAAAUGUUCUACAGUAAUGUUUGGUUUUGGUGUGUAGUGCUCUGGUAAAACCUUCUUCAUGUCUUCUAAACUUGUAUCUCUGGGUUACUGAGGCUGCAACUAACUCCUUGAUAGAAAGUAAAUUUUAUUGCCACAGAACUGUUUGUCCUUAUUUGCAAGAAAAUUGUGGCCCAGUCUUUGUAAGUAUUUCUUUAUUAAACUCCUUAGUUUUCCCAUAAAUUACAUUCUUAUGUUGUUUUCAGUUUUGAAAAGGACUGCUGUUCAAUGCAACAAAAAUAAGCCUACUUGCAGAGUGGGAACCUGCUGCUUUAUUCAACUGCAUCACAGAGUGGCAGGGAAAAAAUCCCACUGGAUAAAACAGGAGGUUAAGGGAUGAAGCCAGGGUCCAUCCAUCCGGGUAACCUAGUUAACCCUAUCAUGACUGCUUUACGGACUAUACUUUCCUAACAAUUUUAUACAGUUCUCACAGCACCCCAUCCCUAGUCUGGAUCUCAAGGUAGAGAGCUGCUGGUUUCUCCGGGGUUCAUAAUGCUCCUGGGUUGAAGGGGCUUUUAAGUCAUUGUAACAGCUGUCUCCUAUUACCAGAUCUCCAUUGCUGAUGUGAGGGGAUAUCUAGGUUCCCUCUUGGCAUAAUAGGUGUAGGACUUACUUUGGUCAAAAGAGGGGGGGAUCCUAAAUCCACUGCCGCCACCUCAUUUUUUCCCUUUCAGUUAGAUUCAGAUAAGGUUCGUAGCCCUUGAUUUUUUGCAGUGGUAAGGGUCAGGAAUACAGCAAUACUUUAAAUAUUUAACGUGAUUCUCCCCUACCAUCCUCUCUCUCUUGCUUGCUCUCUUCAGUAACUCAAUAGCAGCUAAAGGAAUUUUUCUAAAAUUUCCCCAAAAAAAUAAUCUCUGGGAUGAGACUGAUGUUGAAACUUUUCAUGCUCAGUGAGGACUUUUUCAGAAAAUUAUGGGCAUGUGAAAUCAAGGUGCUAUGAAGGUCCUGACAAGGACUAUAUAUUUUGUAUACGUUACAUGUGCAUGUUCAAAUACUAUCUUCUGCUGCAGGUGUCAAUUUCAUUGUCAGACCUGUUCAAAUGUGUAUGAUUUAUAUUUCUCUUCAGUAGGUCACAAUCUUUGCAGCACCAAGUGCUACAUUGGCAAUUUAUCAAGAGUCCAGUGGGCACAGCCGAUUUGCAUUUACAUUUACAUUACUUUACGUGAAUUUGCUGUCAAUUUGUAUUCUCUUAAUGCUGCAAUAAAACAUGCUAUAUUGAAUAAAAAUUGGUUUUACUAAACGUA